rnacentral:rRNA from 1 species
CACGUAGGGGGCGAGCGUUGUCCGGAUUCAUUGGGCGUAAAGAGCUCGUAGGCGGCUCAGUAAGUCGGGUGUGAAACCCUCAGGCUCAACCUGGGGACGCCACUCGAUACUGCUGUGGCUAGAGUCCAGUAGAGGAGUGUGGAAUUCCCGGUGUAGCGGUGAAAUGCGCAGAUAUCGGGAGGAACACCGACGGCGAAGGCAGCACUCUGGGCUGGAACUGACGCUGAGGAGCGAAAGCGUGGGUAGCAAACAGG